rnacentral:tRNA from 1 species
GGGGUCGUAGCUCAGUUGGUAGAGCACCACAAUGGCAUUGUGGGGGUCAGGGGUUCGAGCCCCCUCGGCUCCACCA